GCGGCGUAGGAGUACUAGCCAAUGGCCCUAUUCUGAAUGAGGUCAUGGCAGUGGCAUGUUUGGUGCAGUUUAGGGUAGAGAAAUUGUGUUUAGCUCGAGAUCGGAAUCGUUGAUGCUCACUUCGAAUGCGAAAGGGAUGUCCCGCCGAACGUCAUGAAUAAAAUCAGCUGCAGUGGGCUGCUCUGAGUGGAAGGGAUCCCAGGCUUCGCUUUUCCUAAUAUCAACAACGGGAAAGCAGUGGAUGUGCAUCGGUUGGAGAGGAGUCUGCAAGUACACUGGUAUCCAAACGGAAGUGCACCGAGCAUGCUAGUAUGUGAUAUAAAUACUAGUAGCUGCUUGACAGCCG
rnacentral:sRNA from 2 species